rnacentral:tRNA from 1 species
GCGGGCGUAGCUUAGUGGUAAAGCUCCAGCCUUCCAAGCUGGUCAUGUCGGUUCGAUUCCGAUCGCCCGCU